rnacentral:tRNA from 1 species
GGGCAAGUGGCCGAUAGGGAAGGCAGCACGUUUGCACCGUGUCCAAUGAGAGUUCAAAUCUCUUCUUGUCCA